rnacentral:rRNA from 1 species
CCUACGGGUGGCAGCAGUGGGGAAUAUUGGACAAUGGGCGAAAGCCUGAUCCAGCCAUGCCGCGUGUGUGAAGAAGGCCUUCGGGUUGUAAAGCACUUUCAGUGGGGAAGAAAGCCUUGGGGCUAAUACCCUCGAGGAAGGACAUCACCCACAGAAGAAGCACCGGCUAACUCCGUGCCAGCAGCCGCGAUAAUACGGAGGGUGCGAGCGUUAAUCGGAAUUACUGGGCGUAAAGCGCGCGUAGGCGGUCUGAUAAGCCGGUUGUGAAAGCCCCGGGCUCAACCUGGGAACGGCAUCCGGAACUGUCAGGCUAGAGUGCAGGAGAGGAAGGUAGAAUUCCCGGUGUAGCGGUGAAAUGCGUAGAGAUCGGGAGGAAUACCAGUGGCGAAGGCGGCCUUCUGGACUGACACUGACGCUGAGGUGCGAAAGCGUGGGUAGCAAACAGGAUUAGAUACCCCGGUAGUC